CUAACGGGUGAGUAAUGCGUGACCAACCUGCCCCAUGCUCCAGAAUAGCUCUUGGAAACGGGUGGUAAUGCUGGAUGCUCCAACUUGACGCAUGUCUUGUUGGGAAAGUGUUUAGUGGCAUGGGAUGGGGUCGCGUCCUAUCAGCUUGUAGGCGGGGUAAUGGCCCACCUAGGCUUCGACGGGUAGCCGGCCUGAGAGGGCGGACGGCCACAUUGGGACUGAGAUACGGCCCAGACUCCUACGGGAGGCAGCAGUG
rnacentral:rRNA from 1 species